AACGAACGCUGGCGGCAGGCUUAACACAUGCCAGUCGAACGCCCCGCCAGGGGAGUGGCAGACGGGUGAGUACCGCGUGGGAACAUACCCUUUCCUGCGGAAUAGCUCCGGGAAACUGGAAUUAAUACCGCAUACGCCCUACGGGGGAAAGAUUUAUCGGGGAAGGAUUGGCCCGCGUUGGAUUAGCUAGUUGGUGGGGUAAAGGCCUACCAAGGCGACGAUCCAUAGCUGGUCUGAGAGGAUGAUCAGCCACAUUGGGACUGAGACACGGCCCAAACUCCUACGGGAGGCAGCAGUGGGGAAUAUUGGACAAUGGGCGCAAGCCUGAUCCAGCCAUGCCGCGUGAGUGAUGAAGGCCUUAGGGUUGUAAAGCUCUUUCACCGAUGAAGAUAAUGACGGUAGUCGGAGAAGAAGCCCCGGCUAACUUCGUG
rnacentral:rRNA from 1 species